GCUUGAGCUCAGACAUCCACCUUUUCCUGCCCUUGGAUGUGGAUUCCCUGUUUUCAUGCCUUUGCACUUGGACUGAACAGCUUUCCUGGUCCUCCAGCUUGCAGACUGCAGAUCUUGGGACUUUGUUGCCUCCAUAAUCACCUGGAAAAACAGUCAGCAGGAUAAACUUCACUAGCUGAAUGCUGUUUGCCUUGAGUCUACCGCAGCUGAUAAACCUGGGACUUCUGAGGAGCCCUGGCUGAAGGACUGAAUUUUUGGUUAAAGCAUGGAACCAUGGAACAAUCCAUGGAACAAAGAAGCAUGGACCAGUCAGUAAUUCAGCUACUAGCCUAAUUCUUGCUUCACAGCUACCAGCUCAACUUGGGACACCUAUUACAUCCCUGGUCCGGAAAGAUCCCACACACUGCAGGGCAACUAGGCCCCCGCCACCACCAUGGAGCCCACACGCCACAACUGUGGAAGACUAUGCUCUGCAAUAAGAGAAGCCACUGCAGUGAGAAGCCCAUGCACCACAAUCUGACGGCUGACCGUGCUGAGAAAGCCCACAUGCAGCAACGAAG